rnacentral:lncRNA from 1 species
UAGAAGUGUGCCCCAAGCCGGGGUAAGUGGCCUGGAAUCAUACAAAUCUCAGAGCCAUCGGUGCAGUUCUUCUCCGCCCUUCUCUUUGUUGGUGAGAUCAUGUCCCCUCCUUCGACUCCACCUACUCCUCGCGUCGAUGCUCAAGCUCUGCCGCCGCCUCCAGGCCGCUUUUGGGACACCUGGUCUGGGCCACCUCAGAGCAGGGAUUGAGUGACCAGCAGCACCUUGAUCCCGUGUUGGACUGCCUGGGACCAUCUCAGAUGGAGCAGGAUCAAUCACACAGCAUGUCUUCCCCCGCGCACAUACUUUUGCACAGAUACCCUCAACUAGCGUGCUUCUUCCAAACCCUUAUAGGAUCUGCCUCUUGGAGCGCCAGAGUCCUAAACAGGGAAUAUGGACUCUAGACUCUCGUUCAACAAAUGGAGGAAAUUAAGGCUCAGAGAGAGCCAACAUUUCCAAGAGCAAACAAAAAGUCAGCCAGACUCACUCUAUUCCACAUGCUGGUGUCCCUGGAACCUGCUACCCCAACUAUUCUCCUUGGGGACCAAAGAGGGUGGAGACUGGGAACAUGGAGUCUGAAUUACUU